GUCUAUAGCCAUACCACCCUGAACAAGCCCGAUCCCGUCUGAUCUCGGAAGCUAAGCAAGGUCGGGCCCGGUUAGUAUUGGAUGGGAGACCACCUAGGAAGACCAGGUGCUUUAGGUG
rnacentral:rRNA from 1 species